GGUGGUAUAGUUCAAGUGGUAGAGCGCUUGCCUAGCAAGUAUAAGGUCCUGGGUUCAAACCUCAGUACUGCAA
rnacentral:tRNA from 1 species